UCCAGUUUCUUUUGCUCUCGUAGUUGCAAGUGCUUUGGCACAUCUAAAGUCUAAACUAAGGGUGGCAAAAUUAGCCCAAACCCAUUUUACCUGCCCAAGUUUUAAUAGGUUUGGGCUAGCAAGAUUUUAAAGAUAGGCUGGUUUGGGCUAGCCCAAGUUAACCCAUCAAAAAUCAUCAACCCAAAUCCGACCCCUCAAAUGAACCCAAACUGACCAAUCAGCAACCCUCCGUUCAGAAGUGUAGCAGCUACAAAAUGUGAUUAACUCUUUCCUUUCAAAUUUUUUUUAAUCAUUUUCUUUUAAUUUUCUUUGUUUUGCUGAGAGUCUAACUUCCUGUUUGGAUUGGCUUAUUUUAAGUGCUUUUAAGCCGAAGUAGUUUUUAAGCAAUUUUGGAGUGUUUGGGUAAAACAAAAAAGUUCUUUUAAGCACUUAUCUUUUAGCAAGAAAGGCAAAAACAAGUCAAAAGCCAUAAAGUUAGAAUUCCGAACUUAUGGCUUUUGACUUAUAAACCAAAAGCUAUAAGCUCAUCCAAAUACCGACUAACCUUAUUUUGGCUUUU
rnacentral:lncRNA from 1 species